GGAUUUGAGUUAUCUGGCCGUGACACCUGUUGCUCCAUCAAUCAACGGUCUGACUUGAUCUGGAUGGCGAGGUGGGUGUCCCCUUCCUCCUUCAUUGCUCCAUGUGUGCUUUUCCUGAAGCUGCAAGCUUGGCCAAGCCUUUCCCAAUAGAGGAGAAUUGCUCUUUGGUCAAGGGUGUAACAGAGGCCCACUCCACUGUUAAAACCGCCCACUGCUCUGAAGGACAUUAUACUCUUAUCACAGGACCCAAGGAAGGCUCACAGCAUACCUGGGGUUCAUGAUUCCUCCACUGUG
rnacentral:snRNA from 1 species